UUACGGCCACAUCACGUUGAAUCACUGGUUCUCGUAAAAUCGCUGAAGUUAAGCAACGUCGAUUCUGGUCACUACCUAGAUGAGUGACCGCUUGGGAAUACCGGGUGCUGUAAG